rnacentral:rRNA from 1 species
GAACGCGAAGAACCUUACCUACUCUUGACAUCCAGAGAACUUUCCAGAGAUGGAUUGGUGCCUUCGGGAACUCUGAGACAGGUGCUGCAUGGCUGUCGUCAGCUCGUGUUGUGAAAUGUUGGGUUAAGUCCCGCAACGAGCGCAACCCUUAUCCUUUGUUGCCAGCGGUUCGGCCGGGAACUCAAAGGAGACUGCCAGUGAUAAACUGGAGGAAGGUGGGGAUGACGUCAAGUCAUUAUGGCCCUUACGAGUAGGGCUACACACGUGCUACAAUGGCGUAUACAAAGAGAAGCGACCUCGCGAGAGCAAGCGGACCUCAUAAAGUACGUCGUAGUCCGGAUUGGAGUCUGCAACUCGACUCCAUGAAGUCGGAAUCGCUAGUAAUCGUAGAUCAGAAUGCUACGGUGAAUACGUUCCCGGGCCUUGUACACACCGGGGUCUUGUACACCCG